rnacentral:tRNA from 1 species
UCCUUGAUGAGGCGCAGGAUACCCACGGCGACCAGCUUCGGUUGCUGGAGCACGUCUUCAAGCAAGACGGAGCGGCGUUCCAGCGCCUCGGGGAC